GUGUCAGCCGCCGCGGUAAUACGGAGGAUGCGAGCGUUAAUCGGAAUUACUGGGCGUAAAGCGCAUGCAGGUGGUUUGUUAAGUCAGAUGUGAAAGCCCGGGGCUCAACCUCGGAAUUGCAUUUGAAACUGGCAGGCUAGAGUACUGUAGAGGGGGGUAGAAUUUCAGGUGUAGCGGUGAAAUGCGUAGAGAUCUGAAGGAAUACCGGUGGCGAAGGCGGCCCCCUGGACAGAUACUGACACUCAGAUGCGAAAGCGUGGGGAGCAAACAGGAUUAGAAACCCCCGUAGUCC
rnacentral:rRNA from 1 species